ACACGACUACAUUAGAUACCCGGGUAGUCCCAGCUGUAAACGAUGCAGACUAGGUGUUUGGACGGCCACGUGCCGUUCUAGUGCCGCAGGGAAGCUGUUAAGUCUGCCGCCUGGGGAGUACGAUCGCAAGAUUGAAACUUAAAGGAAUUGGCGGGGGAGCACCACAAGGGGUGAAGCUUGCGGUUUAAUUGGAGUCAACGCCGGAAAUCUCACCGGGAGCGACAGCAGUGUGAUAGCCAGAUUAAAGGUCUUGCUAGACGAGCUG
rnacentral:rRNA from 1 species